GACCCGAGACGUGGCGCUCCCGCCGUGCCGGCCACAGCUCCAGGUACGUGCGCGUCCGGCGGCUGAAUCUGGCCUGGGAGAGGGCUGGGGUCGUCUGGUCCUCCGGAACUCGAAGUUUGUGAUUUUGUUCUUUUUCUGUGACAAUCUCCUGCGUGCUGAGAGAGAAACUCCUUGAAAGAAGACCCAGAGAGUCGCUGCGGGUUCUUGGAGGAGUGAUUUGGGGUGCUUGAAUUUCAGCGACUUGCCUAAACUGGCAUCUCAGACCAGAGGAUCAGGAGGUGACUGAGGAGGAAGUAACCCUGGAAGAGAUCAGGAUUUGGCUGUGGGUUAUGCGUGACCUUCCGAGGAAAUCUAGAUUUCGGUGGUCCUUAAAAUGUGAUUGAUUGUAUUAAAAUUAUGAAAAACCUCA